CAGAGUAGGAGAACGUGCGUUAAGUGCCGCGCGGACGGAGAGUUGCCGUGCGGACGAAAGCCCUCAGGGAGGAGGGCUGCGGUACGUUCUUCGCAUCUCGCUG
rnacentral:ncRNA from 1 species